rnacentral:rRNA from 1 species
UACGUAGGUGACCAGCGUUGUCCGGAUUUACUGGGCGUAAAGAGCGCGCAGGCGGUCGUUCAAGUCGAGUGUGAAAGCCCCCGGCUCAACUGGGGAGGGUCAUUCGAUACUGAUCGACUUGAAGGCAGGAGAGGGAAGUGGAAUUCCCGGUGUAGUGGUGAAAUGCGCAGAUAUCAGGAGGAACACCGGUGGCGAAGGCGGUUCUCUGGGCAUGUCCUGACGCUGAGGAGCGAAAGUGUGGGGAGCGAACAGG